rnacentral:rRNA from 1 species
CCCUUAGAUGCUCUGGGCCGCACGCGCGCUACUCUGGUCGAUGCAACGAGUUUCUUUCCUUGGCCGACAGGCCUGGGCAAUCUUUGAACAUCGAUCGUGAUCGGGAUAGAUUCUUGUAAUUUUUGAUCUUAAACGAGGAAUUCCUAGUAAACGCAAGUCAUCAGCUUGCAUUGAUUACGUCCCUGCCCUUUGUACACACCGCCCGUCGCACCUACCGAUUGAAUGGUCCGGUGAAAUCUCCGGACUGGCGUGAGUCGGAGCAAUCUGACAAACGCCGGAAAGUUGAUUAAACCUUACCAUUUAGAGGAAGGUGAAGUCGUAACA